rnacentral:rRNA from 1 species
UACGUAGGGGGCAAGCGUUGUCCGGAAUCAUUGGGCGUAAAGAGCGUGUAGGCGGCUCGGUAAGUCCGCUGUGAAAGUCCAGGGCUCAACCCUGGAAUGCCGGUGGAAACUGUCGAGCUCGAGUCCGGAAGAGGCGAGUGGAAUUCCUGGUGUAGCGGUGAAAUGCGCAGAUAUCAGGAGGAACACCAAUGGCGAAGGCAGCUCGCUGGGACGGUACUGACGCUGAGACGCGAAAGCCAGGGGAGCAAACGGG